rnacentral:rRNA from 1 species
UGGCUGUCGUCAGCUCGUGUUGUGAAAUGUUGGGUUAAGUCCCGCAACGAGCGCAACCCUUAUCCUUUGUUGCCAGCGAUUCGGUCGGGAACUCAAAGGAGACUGCCAGUGAUAAACUGGAGGAAGGUGGGGAUGACGUCAAGUCAUCAUGGCCCUUACGACCAGGGCUACACACGUGCUACAAUGGCGCAUACAAAGAGAAGCGACCUCGCGAGAGCAAGCGGACCUCAUAAAGUGCGUCGUAGUCCGGAUUGGAGUCUGCAACUCGACUCCAUGAAGUCGGAAUCGCUAGUAAUCGUGGAUCAGAAUGCCACGGUGAAUACGUUCCCGGGCCUUGUACACACCGCCCGUCACACCAUGGGAGUGGGUUGCAAAAGAAGUAGGUAGCUUAACCUUCGGGAGGGCGCUUACCACUUUGUGAUUCAUGACUGGGGUGAAGUCGUAACAAGGUAACCGUAGGGGAACCUGC